CUUGUGUUUCUUAAUUCAAGGGAGUGGUCAGCCAUUUGUGACUUCUAUGUCCAACACGUAUAACUAUCCCACUUUCUGGUCCAUAAAUGAUGCAAAGCAACACAUAUUUAAGUCUACAUUGGCAAUGAGAAGCCUCUGUUACCAUGUUUCAGUUUCAAGCUGUAGGAGUUUGCUAUCGAAGGUCAGCAACCAGAGUUCAAUUCAGGGUCUUUCAGAUUUUCUCUUUGUCUUCUGCUUGAUGCUUGCUGGUGAGUGAAACGAUGAACUCAAAGAACAUAAACGGCGAGUGGUGUGGCCACCUCUCUUAGGUUCUGAGGAAGUAUCAUUCAAAAAAAUAUUAUAUGAAUACCUUAAAAGGGUCUUGGAGAUGCAAAUUCUUGAACAAGAAUAGAAAGAGAUGUGAUCCUAUUGGCUUUCCUGAUGUUCCAGCAAUGUUGGGCGUAACGGUUGAGAAAAGUAUGUGCUAAUUUACUAUUCUAAAUGAAGAGUAAGCAAGAAGAUGUUGAACCGUCACCACUCUCGUCACUCAUUGGAAUUUCAUUCAGGAACCUAACCUAUGCUGAUGAUAUUCGAAUCACGAGCAUCUUGGUUAAUUUCGUCUGACUUCUUUUGAAUUUUGUGCACGGAACCUGUGAUCUUCAUUAUAUAGAAGACACAGAAGAAAAAGACAAGAGCUCAAGAUAUGCCAUUGGGUGCAAUACUUAGGCUGAGGGAGAAAGUCUUAUAGGUUUUAAAGAUGGUGGAGAUUUAGAUCAUUUUCUGCACCCACCUCUCCCCUAACCAGCUCCUCCCUAGUGGUCAAAAUCUGUCAUAUCAAGCCUGUCACCAUCAUCAAUAGGGUUUGGUACUAGGGCAUAGUGAUGGCAACUAAUGAACUGCUUCCCAAUUAAAGACAAAAAACAAAUCGAUUGUUAUGUGUUUGUCCGUUGGAGACGGCUGUUCCCGAGAUGAUACUGAUGUUGCUUUAAGACAAGAGGAAGAAUUUACAUUGAAUGAUUUUUAUCACACUGGUAAAGGAAUGCGUAUGUGAGAGUAUAAAAGAAAAUGAUUAGAAAAAUGGAAUUGAAAGG
rnacentral:sRNA from 1 species